rnacentral:rRNA from 1 species
GACGAACGCUGGCAGCGUGCUUAACACAUGCAAGUCGAACGGAAAGGCCCUGCUUUUGUGGGGUGCUCGAGUGGCGAACGGGUGAGUAACACGUGAGUAACCUGCCCUUGACUUUGGGAUAACUUCAGGAAACUGGGGCUAAUACCGGAUAGGAGCUCCUGCUGCAUGGUGGGGGUUGGAAAGUUUCGGCGGUUGGGGAUGGACUCGCGGCUUAUCAGCUUGUUGGUGGGGUAGUGGCUUACCAAGGCUUUGACGGGUAGCCGGCCUGAGAGGGUGACCGGCGACAUUGGGACUGCGAUACGGCCCAGACUCCUACGGGAGGCAGCAGGGGGGAAUAUUGCACAAUGGGCGGAAGCCUGAUGCAGCAGCGCCGCGUGCGGGAUGACGGCCUUCGGGUGGUAAACCGCUUUCGCCUGUGACGAGGCGUGAGUGACGGUAAUGGGUAAAGAAGCACCGGCUAACUACGUG